rnacentral:rRNA from 1 species
CCCUUAGAUGUUCUGGGCCGCACGCGCGCUACACUGACGAAGUCAGCGAGCAUGUCCUACGCCGACAGGUGCGGGGAAUCUUGUCAAACUUCGUCGUGAUGGGGAUUGAUUUUUGAAAUUCUUGAUCAUAAACGAGGAAUUCCUAGUAAGCGCAAGUCAGCAGCUUGCGUUGAUUACGUCCCUGCCCUUUGUACACACCGCCCGUCGCUACUACCGAUUGAAUGAUUUAGUGAGAUCUUCGGAUUGGCGCCACUGCAGCUCAGCAAUGGGCUUGGUGGAUGCCGAAAAGUUGAUCAAACUUGAUCAUUUAGAGGAAGUAAAAGUCGUAACA